rnacentral:rRNA from 1 species
CCUACGGGCGGCUGCAGUGGGGAAUAUUGCACAAUGGGGGAAACCCUGAUGCAGCGACGCCGCGUGAGUGAAGAAGUAAUUCGUUAUGUAAAGCUCUAUCAGCAGGGAAGAAAAUGACGGUACCUGAGUAAGAAGCCCCGGCUAACUACGUGCCAGCAGCCGCGGUAAUACGUAGGGGGCAAGCGUUUUCCGGAUUUACUGGGUGUAAAGGGGGCGUAGACGGCAGUGCAAGUCUGGAGUGAAAGGCGGGGGCUCAACCCCCGGACUGCUCUGGAAACUGUACGGCUGGAGUGCAGGAGAGGUAAGUGGAAUUCCUAGUGUAGCGGUGAAAUGCGUAGAUAUUAGGAGGAACACCGGUGGCGAAGGCGGCUUACUGGACCAUAACUGACGUUGAGGCUCGAAAGCGUGGGGAGCGAACAGGAUUAGAUACCCCAGUAGUC